rnacentral:rRNA from 1 species
UGAGUAAUGUCUGGGAAACUGCCCGAUGGAGGGGGAUAACUACUGGAAACGGUAGCUAAUACCGCAUAACGUCGCAAGACCAAAGAGGGGGACCUUCGGGCCUCUUGCCAUCGGAUGUGCCCAGAUGGGAUUAGCUAGUAGGUGGGGUAACGGCUCACCUAGGCGACGAUCCCUAGCUGGUCUGAGAGGAUGACCAGCCACACUGGAACUGAGACACGGUCCAGACUCCUACGGGAGGCAGCAGUGGGGAAUAUUGCACAAUGGGCGCAAGCCUGAUGCAGCCAUGCCGCGUGUAUGAAGAAGGCCUUCGGGUUGUAAAGU